ACAAAGGAUUUAUUAAAAUCUACUGCAAAGGGAAUUAAAAGUAGUG
rfam:Clostridium amylolyticum strain DSM 21864 genome assembly, contig: Ga0131114_104